rnacentral:lncRNA from 1 species
CACAAAUGAAAUGAGUAACUUCAUAAAAAGGAAUAUUUACUAAAACCCCAGCAUAAUGAUUGUAACUCAGGGGUUAAAUGCAACAAGUAACAUUAUCUCUCUUCAGAAAAACACAAGAGUACCAAUUUUGUGGACUUUGCUUAACAUUAACAAUGUACUGUUAUCCAACAAACUAGAGGGUAGCAACUAGCUAGCAAGGGGUUCACUCAAAUUCUCUCAACAAAAAUUACACUAUAUAUAUAAGGUAACCCCUGCAUAUAAGACUAGAGAUAACUCAGUGACUUGAGGGAGUUCAAAAGAGUUCAAAUUUCACCGUGAAUUUUUAAAGUCAAAUCUCUAAUUAAGCACACUGCUGAUGCCGACACCUAUGUGUAGUAGUAGCUUUUCCUUUUAGCUUUGUCCUAGGCAAUCAUCCAUUAGUAAAUUAUGCUGGCAAGAGGCAGUAACUGUAAUUCUGGAGAACAGGUAGCCUUUCCAACCACAAAACUAAUUAGAAGGGGAAAUAUUUAAGAAAAAGAGUUACCAAUUUUGAAGAUAGGUGGGGGGUGGAACUAUAAUCAUUGCAAUUGCAAUUGGAAUCUGUCAUGCACAAAAUGACAUUGCAAUUGCAAGUCAUAGUAGUUAUAAUGAUCAAUAUGGUAAGGGAAUAGUUUAAUGUUGUGGUCAAAGCCAUUACCAUAUACGUCCAUAUAUAUCAAGCAUGUCGCUCACUUAUUCACAGACACCUGGUUAAACUCCACAUAUAAACCUUCUAAAGACACCAUAUCCCAACUUAUGUGGAACUUCCACUUCUCAACAAACAAGUAAACUGCUCUAAUGUGUUGCAGAGUAUUUAAGAUAAUAGCAAGAAAAGGUUUUUGCUAUUACCUCUUCUAUCAUAAUGUCAACUUUGGUUGACUUGGAUGAUCUUCAACUACGAUUUUCCUGAGAUAAUCUGGUCCAACAGAGUUAAUAAGAGAGGGAGAAGGGAAAAAAAGGAGAAGAAAAAAAAUCAUUUGGCAGUAAAUUUGCACCCAACUAUGAUCUUGCAAAUACUACAGAGCAAAAAAUGGAGAUUCAAAGCCCUUUAGCCAAGCAAUUGUCCAUGUAUUCAUUUCUUUCCCAAAGCAGAAUGUGCCACAAAUACAAAU